rnacentral:rRNA from 1 species
UACGAAGGGGGCUAGCGUUGCUCGGAAUGACUGGGCGUAAAGGGCGCGUAGGCGGUUCGUACAGUCAGACGUGAAAUUCCUGGGCUCAACCUGGGGGCUGCGUUUGAUACGUGCGGACUUGAGUGCGGAAGAGGGUCGUGGAAUUCCCAGUGUAGAGGUGAAAUUCGUAGAUAUUGGGAAGAACACCGGUGGCGAAGGCGGCGACCUGGUCCGAUACUGACGCUGAGGCGCGAAAGCGUGGGGAGUAAACAGG